UCAUAUCACGUUGACACACUGAUUCUCGUACGAUUACCGAAGUUGAGCAACGUCGAACCUGGUCAGUACCUAGAUGGGUAACCGCCUGGGAAUACCAGGUGCUGUAA